CCAGCAGCCGCGGUAAUUCCAGCUCCAAUAGCGUAUAUUAAAGUUGUUGCAGUUAAAAAGCUCGUAGUUGGAUUUGUGGCAGUCGCAUGCGGCCCGGCAUUCGUGUCGGUGUUUGCUCGCGUCGCCAUCCUUGGGUGGAACCUGUGUGGCAUUAGGUUGUCGUGCAGGGGAUGCCCAUCAUUUACUGUGAAAAAAUUAGAGUGUUCAAAGCAGGCUUAUGCCGUUGAAUAUAUUAGCAUGGAAUAAUAAGAUAGGACCUUGGUACUAUUUUGUUGGUUUGCGCACCAAGGUAAUGAUUAAUAGGGACAGUUGGGGGUAUUCGUAUUCCAUUGUCAGAGGUGAAAUUCUUGGAUUUCUGGAAGACGAACUACUGCGAAAGCAUUUACCAAGGAUGUUUUCAUUAAUCAAGAACGAAAGU
rnacentral:rRNA from 1 species